GAUGAACGCUGGCGGCGUGCCUAAUACAUGCAAGUCGAGUGAACAGACGAGGAGCUUGCUCCUCUGACGUUAGCGGCGGACGGGUGAGUAACACGUGGAUAACCUACCUAUAAGACUGGGAUAACUUCGGGAAACCGGAGCUAAUACCGGAUAACAUGUUGAACCGCAUGGUUCAACAGUGAAAGACGGUCUUGCUGUCACUUAUAGAUGGAUCCGCGUCGCAUUAGCUAGUUGGUAAGGUAACGGCUUACCAAGGCAACGAUGCGUAGCCGACCUGAGAGGGUGAUCGGACACACUGGAACUGAGACACGGUCCAGACUCCUACGGGAGGCAGCAGUAGGAAAUCUUCCGCAAUGGGCGAAAGCCUGACGGAGCAACGCCGCGUGAGUGAAGAAGGUCUUCGGAUCGUAAAACUCUGUUAUUAGGGAAGAACAAAUGUGUAAGUACCUAUGCACGUCUUGACGGUACCUAAUCAGAAAGCCACGGCUAACUACGUG
rnacentral:rRNA from 1 species